CCUUCAGGGGAUUUCCCCUAGGUACGGCGAGUGAAGCGGGAAAAGCUCAAAUUUGAAAUCUGGCAGCCUCAGGUUGUCCGAGUUGUAAUCUAUAGAAACGUUUUCCGCGCCGGCCCAUGUACAAGUCCCUUGGAACAGGGCGUCAUAGAGGGUGAGAAUCCCGUCCUUGACACGGACCACCGGUGCUUUGUGAUACGUUUUCAACGAGUCGAGUUGUUUGGGAAUGCAGCUCAAAAUGGGUGGUAAAUUCCAUCUAAAGCUAAAUAUUGGCGAGAGACCGAUAGCGAACAAGUACCGUGAGGGAAAGAUGAAAAGCACUUUGGAAAGAGAGUUAAACAGUAUGUGAAAUUGUUGAAAGGGAAACGAUUGAAGUCAGUCGUGUCUAUUGGACUCAGCCGGUUCUGCCGGUGUACUUCCUUUAGAUGGGGUCAACAUCAGUUUUGAUCGCUGGAAAAGGGCGGGAGGAAUGUAGCACUCUCGGGUGAACUUAUAGCCUUCCGUCGUAUACAGUGGUUGGGACUGAGGAACGCAGCAUGCCUUUAUGGCCGGGGUUCGCCCACGUACAUGCUUAGGAUGUUGACAUAAUGGCUUUAAACGACCCGUCUUGAAACACGGACC
rnacentral:rRNA from 1 species